rnacentral:rRNA from 1 species
UACGUAGGGUGCGAGCGUUAAUCGGAAUUACUGGGCGUAAAGCGUGCGCAGGCGGUAUGUAAGACAGAUGUGAAAUCCCCGGGCUUAACCUGGGACCUGCAUUUGUGACUGCAUUGCUGGAGUGCGGCAGAGGGGGAUGGAAUUCCGCGUGUAGCAGUGAAAUGCGUAGAUAUGCGGAGGAACACCGAUGGCGAAGGCAAUCCCCUGGGCCUGCACUGACGCUCAUGCACGAAAGCGUGGGGAGCAAACAGG